UAUUAUUAUUUUCACUGCUGCAGCUGUGGGUGUGAUCAUUUUGGCUAUGGUUUGUACAUGUCACAAAAGAAAAGCUACAACUGAUUGUGCUCCAAAUCCAGCACUGCAGGAGUCUCAAGGCAUGGGUACCCCCUAUGACCUUGAAAAUCAGCAUUACCUUCUUCAUCAAGACAAGGCAACACAUUUGUACAGUGAGAUACCCUAAAUAGAAGACACAUUCUUUGGAAAUCACCAUAAGACAGGAGAGAUGAAGAAACUGUUGUGCCAGAUUCCGCAUAAACAUUAU